GCACUUUAAGCAGUGAAGAAGACUCUUCGGUUAAUACCCGGAGACGAUGACAUUAGCUGCAGAAUAAGCACCGGCUAACUCUGUGCCAGCAGCCGCGGUAAUACAGAGGGUGCAAGCGUUAAUCGGAAUUACUGGGCGUAAAGGGAGCGUAGGUGGCUCGAUAAGUCAGAUGUGAAAUCCCCGGGCUCAACCUGGGAACUGCAUCUGAUACUGUUGAGCUAGAGUAUGUGAGAGGAAGGUAGAAUUCCAGGUGUAGCGGUGAAAUGCGUAGAGAUCUGGAGGAAUACCGAUGGCGAAGGCAGCCUUCUGGCAUAAUACUGACACUGAGGCUCGAAAGCGUGGGUAGCAAACAGGAUUAGAUACCCUGGUAGUCCACGCCGUAAACGAUGUCUACUAGUCGUUGG
rnacentral:rRNA from 1 species